rnacentral:rRNA from 1 species
UAGGGAAUAUUGCAAAAUGGGCGAAAGCCCGAUGCAGCAACGCCGCGUGGGCGAUGAAGGCCUUCGGGUCGUAAAGCCCUUUUUGAGGGGAUGAGGAAGGACAGUACCCUCAGAAUAAGCCUCGGCUAACUACGUGCCAGCAGCCGCGGUAAAACGUAGGAGGCGAGCGUUAUCCGGAUUUACUGGGCGUAAAGCGCGUGCAGGCUGAUUGGAGAGUUGGAUGUGAAAGCUCCCGGCUUAACUGGGAGAGGUCGUUCAAUACUUCCAGUCUUGAGUGCAGUAGAGGGAAGUGGAAUUCCGGGUGUAGUGGUGAAAUGCGUAGAUAUCCGGAGGAACACCAGUGGCGAAAGCGGCUUCCUGGACUGUAACUGACGCUCAGACGCGAAAGCUAGGGUAGCAAACG